rnacentral:rRNA from 1 species
GGGAACUGCCGGUCAUAAACCGGAGGAAGGUGGGGAUGACGUCAAGUCAGCAUGGCCUUUAUAUCCUGGGGCUACACACACGCUACAAUGGGAAGGGACAAUAGGUUGCGAAGCCGCGAGGCGGAGCCAAUCCAGCAAAACUUCCCUCAGUUCAGAUUGCAGGCUGCAACUCGCCUGCAUGAAGUUGGAGUUGCUAGUAAACGCAGGUCAGCCAUACUGCGUUGAAUACGUUCCCGGGGCUU